ensembl:lncRNA
AGCUGAACAAGGGCCUGAAAGCAAUCUAGUAAUCGGCGUUCUUUCGUGGUUCCUGCCGCAGCUCCUUCUUCAGUUCCCACCCGACUUCCUUCAGUAGUCAACUGUGAACAGGAUGUGUAAGUAAAAUAAACACCCUUUCCCCUCAAGUUGCUUUUGGUAAAUAUUUGAUCACAAUGGAAACCAAACUAGGAUACACAUUGGCACCAGAAGAUGGGAUUCUGUGAUGGAUCUGACUGUGAUGAUCUUUCGGGAGACUUGUGGAAGUCUCUGGAACAUUGACCUGGAAAAACCAUGGAAAACUUAGAGCUUAUUGAGCUAAACCGUUGGAGACUGGAAGGUGAGGAUGCUGAGGGAAGUGGAAACGAGGGAGGUCUGGAAGUGAAGUUUUAGAAGGACAUUUGGCAGUCUUAAAAGACUUUAUCUGGGCUCUCUGCGCAAUACUUUGAAUUAAGAUUUUGUGGUUUCUGGUCAGCUAGGGUGGAGUCAGCUUUGAUCAACAAGAGACCAGAAACACUGAAGUGAAACCUUUGCUUCACUGGGGCAAUUGAUGCUGGUUUGCCAGGUCUGAAAAAUACCCCAUAACUAACGAGAGAUCAGCAUCAUUGAGGUGAAAUCUUCUGGGAGUAUUUUCUCGUGGUUAGCACACAGAAGCUGUGGUCUAGAGAGGGCCAGGGUUGCAUCUUAAGCUGGCCGUAGAGCUUGGCAGUGGGUGCAAAAGCUGUAAGACUUCCAAAGAGUUAUGGAGAGUGGCUGGAGCUUGCCAGUGUGAGAGGUCACGAAAGGCCAUCGGGGAAGGGGCAACCACAGGAUAUUGGAGAUGUCAUAACUGUGGGAUGACUACCUAGGAUCGUGGCAGGUGUGAGCAGAGCUGUGCUUACGAGACAAGCAGUGGAUACUCAAAAUUAUGGAACUGGAGAGGUGGGGCAACCCAAGUCCUGUGGAGCCCAGGUGUCUCUGAGCUGCAGCAUGGUGGUACACACGCACAAUCCCAGUUUGUGGGUGUGAAGGCAGCCUGGACUACACCGUAGGAAGCUAUCCUGGGGCUUAGAUGAGGCCCCCAUCUUACAGAAAUAAAAAGGCAAAACAGAACACAACCAAAACCGCAGAAGGAAUUUCAUUCCACAAAAACACAUGCAAUCAAACACAUAGUACCACUGCUUCCUGUCUGUCUCCAUUAUCUGCCUCAACUUCUGGUUUCAGUUCCUGUCUUUCUUCUCUGUUUCAAACUAAACAACUCCACCUGGGCUGCCUAAUUAUACAAACUCUGGGGUAAAAGAAAAUUCCUUCUGGAGUAACCAGGGUGCCCAUGCCUUGCUGGUCUGGGUGGGUUGUUUGCCCUUCAUUAGUUUCUAUUUUACUUUCAUUACAUUUGUUCCUUCAAAACAGCAAGGUAGCUCAGCAGAUCAAAGUGCUUGCCGUAGGCACCAAGCCUGAGGAACUGAGUUCGAGCCUCAAGUGGAAGAAAGAAAGGAUUCUAGGGAGUUGUUCCCUGACCCAAGGUGUGCCCCUGAUAACCAGGGUAAAUAAAUAAUAAAGGUUGAUUCUUUCCUUUGACAGUUUUGAUCACUGUCACCUUUCUGAAUUCCUUAAAUCUCUUUGGCCUCCUCUCCUCCCGACAAGUCAUGCAUGACUUUUGUUUUAUUUUGUGACCUUAUUAUGAGUUUAACCAGGACCAUCUGUGUGACCAUGGGUUUGGAACUGUCAAUCUCUGGAGCCUGAUGGGCUCAAGGGUGGGGGUGUCACUGAAAAUGAUGUCUUCCCCUCCCCCAGAAAGUGACAAUAGCCAAUAAUUCAGAAGGGAGUGGUAUCAACCUGUGAGCCCCUUUAAUCCACGAGUAACUAUUGACAAGUCAAGUCUUUUUUUUUUUUUUUUUUCUCGG